UACGUGGGGUGCAAACGUUGCUCGGAAUUAUUGGGCGUAAAGCGCGCGUAGGCGGUUACUUAAGUCGGAUGUGAAAGCCCUCGGCUUAACUGAGGAAGUGCACCCGAAACUGAGUAGCUGGAGUACGAAAGAGGGUCGCGGAAUUCCCGGUGUAGAGGUGAAAUUCGUAGAUAUCGGGAGGAACACCGGUGGCGAAGGCGGCGACCUGGGUCGAGACUGACGCUGAGGCGCGAAAGCGUGGGGAGCAAACAGG
rnacentral:rRNA from 1 species